AUUGAACGCUGGCGGCAGGCUUAACACAUGCAAGUCGAGCGGGGGAGUUGCUUCGGUAACUAACCUAGCGGCGGACGGGUGAGUAAUGCUUAGGAAUCUGCCUAUUAAUGGGAGACAACAUCUCGAAAGGGAUGCUAAUACCGCAUACGCCCUACGGGGGAAAGCAGGGGAUCUUCGGACCUUGCGUUAAUAGAUGAGCCUAAGUCGGAUUAGCUAGUUGGUGGGGUAAAGGCCUACCAAGGCGACGAUCUGUAGCGGGUCUGAGAGGAUGAUCCGCCACACUGGGACUGAGACACGGCCCAGACUCCUACGGGAGGCAGCAGUGGGGAAUAUUGGACAAUGGGGGGAACCCUGAUCCAGCCAUGCCGCGUGUGUGAAGAAGGCCUUAUGGUUGUAAAGCACUUUAAGCGAGGAGGAGGCUUCUUUGGUUAAUACCCAAAGUAAGUGGACGUUACUCGCAGAAUAAGCACCGGCUAACUCUGUGCCAGCCGCCGCGGUAAAAC
rnacentral:rRNA from 1 species